GACGAACGCUGGCGGCGUGCUUAACACAUGCAAGUCGAACGGAAAGGCCCCUUUGGGGGUACUCGAGUGGCGAACGGGUGAGUAACACGUGAGUAACCUGCCCUUGACUUCGGGAUAACUUCAGGAAACUGGGGCUAAUACCGGAUAGGAAUCCUUGCUGCAUGGUGGGGGUUGGAAAGCUUCGGCGGUUUUGGAUGGACUCGCGGCUUAUCAGCUUGUUGGUGGGGUAGUGGCUUACCAAGGCUUUGACGGGUAGCCGGCCUGAGAGGGCGACCGGCCACAUUGGGACUGAGAUACGGCCCAGACUCCUACGGGAGGCAGCAGUGGGGAAUAUUGCACAAUGGGCGGAAGCCUGAUGCAGCAACGCCGCGUGCGGGAUGACGGCCUUCGGGUUGUAAACCGCUUUCAGCAGGGGCGAAGCUUGUGGUGACGGUACCUGCAGAAGAAGCACCGGCGAACUAC
rnacentral:rRNA from 1 species